GACUGUCUCUGAGCCCUUGCUCCGCAUCCCUGACCUCACUGCAUGUUUCCUUCACAGAUGCUGCUUCUCUUAGCUACAGCUUCACUGUUGGCAGCUCAGGGUCUGGACCACGGUGGCAAGUCCAAGGCCAACUGAACACAGAACCUUUAAUUUACUGUGACAAUAACAACAGCUGUCAGGCCAUUGGUCGUCAGAGGAGCAGAAUGAGUGCCACAAAGAUCUGGCAGCUACAGGUUAAGACUCUGAGAGACGCAGGUGACCAGUUCAAAGCAGUCGUGGCUCACUUGAAGGCAGAUACUAGCACAAAGAGAGGUAAGUUUCAAAGGGCCCCCUUGGGCUGGGGAUGUAGCACAGUGGUAGAGUGCUUGCCUAGCAUAUGUGGAGCCCUAGGUUCAAUCCCCUCUGCUACAAAUUAAAUAAAGAACAUAGCAAAUGGCCCCCUGAAGGAAAGAACAGGAUUUGUGACAGGUUGGGGUCAUUCAUUGUUUUCAUGGAAGAAGAAAAUAAAUGCCUGGUCAUCCCACCUAAGAGGACCAGCAGCAAGGAGGGCAGAGCAAGGUCAGAGGAUGGGAAGGGAGGUAGACAGACAGGAUUCAUCAAGUCCAGAGGCUGAUCUCUUUCCACCGGGCACAGAGCCCCUUAUUCUGCAGGCCACGAUGCAUUGUGGGCAUGAAGUAAAUGGAGAUUUCCGAGCAUCCUGGGACUUUGGCCUCAAUGGACGGAAAAUGUUGCAUUUUGACUCAAGCACUAGAAAGUUGACUGAAGUUGAUUCUGAAUCCAGCCAGUUGAAAACUAUGUUGGAGGAAGUAACUGACUUCUUAUACAGGACCUCACAGGGGGACUGUAGGUCCUGGCUUGAGGAGUUCAAGUCACACUGGGAAGAAAAGCUGGAGCCUACAGCCUCGUCAAAUGCUGCUCCGGAUGUGAACCAGCCUCCGACCUUGGCAAGCAAGUCCAACAUCUAUGUCCUGCUGAUGAUCCUCAUUUGCUCCCUCCUGUUUCUCUUACAAUAUUUGUGAUGACAGGUUGAAGAUGCUUCAGAGAAGGUCGUGAGAGUUCAUCUGGUGCAGCCACUCUCCCUCUCAUCGGCCUCAACCAGAUGAAUUAUGGUGUUGCCGACACAGUAUUUCAUGAUCUUUCACUCUGUGCUGCUCACUUGGGCCUUUCUUAUCACCUUGUACUGUUUCCUUGGUGCUCCUUGGAUGGAUUUUGCUCUUAACAUGGAACUCAACAUCUGGAAAGAACAUGGUUAUGUACCCAUUCCUAGCAUAGGAAACAGGAUAACCAGAUCCCUUAGUGGGAGUGUCAAGUUUUUACACUUGCUUAUAUAACUGGCAAUAAUCAAAUAUCUCAGGUGUCUCCAAUGGAAACCUGUAACAGCUAAUCAUAGAAAAUGGAAAUUGAGGACCAGUUGUUUAGUAGAAGUCACUGGUAACUAUAACACAGCCCCAAACCUUAGCACGGCUGACUCCAUCAUGGAACUGCCAUUCAGGCUGUAAAACUUAGCACAUAGACAGCACCACCUGCCAAAACUAAAACAAAGGGCUGAUCCAUCCCAGUCCAUAGUUAAGGAAAGUCUCUGAUGUACUGACCUUGCCUUUUGACUUCUGCAUUUCUACUUCUGGCUAACUGUUCUUGUUAACUGAAGUGUGUCGACCCAAAGCAUGGGUUUUUGUGCUUGAAAGCUCUACCUUAGGGUUGGUGCUACACUGGGAUCCGAAAUACCCAUUGUAGUUGCUAACCAGCUAAUAAAAAUUUUCUAUUGACUUAAAUCUGUGUCUGAAAAUUCUUCUCUGAUGAGUUCUCCACAACAUUUCUAGAAGUCCCAAGGAUAUCCCAGAGCAGGACCUGAAGACACCA